GUCUCAACUCCCUCACCUGAGGGACCUACAACAAGCAAAGAGUCAUUACCUUCAUUUUGUUGAGGUGAUUCUUGAUGGGGAAGAAGUGUAAGUAGACAUGGGCACUGGGCCAUGUUUGGCAUGGCCUGGCUCAAGCCCAUCGGGCCACAGUCCAAACAGACCAUGCCUAGCACGACUAUUUUACCCCAAGCCCUAACCUGGCAC
rnacentral:lncRNA from 1 species